rnacentral:piRNA from 1 species
CGUAUGUGGUGCAUAGACCGGUAAUGGC